GCGGGAGUAGCUCAGUGGUAGAGCACAACCUUGCCAAGGUUGGGGUCGCGGGUUCGACCCCCGUCUCCCGCUCCA
rnacentral:tRNA from 2 species